CGCCCCACCCGCAGGCCCGAGCGCGACUCUGCGAGCACCGCUCCCGCGCGGUCAGUGCCAAGUCUCGCGCCCGCCGCCUGCGGGACCCGAACCGGCAUCUUGAGAGAGCCCGGCCCUCCUCCUUCCUCUCUCGCCCAGCGCCCGCCGUGAGCGCCGCCCCGAGGUCCAGCCCGCGUCUAGAGCAGGCGGCGGCCAGGCGGUGGGGUCGAAGCGACUGCACAGAGCCGUGCCUGAGUCGGAGAGAAGCCUUGGCGGAGGCGGAAGCGGAAGCGGAGACGGCGGCCGCCGAGCGGGCCCGGCCGGGCAGUGUGUGACCCUGGCUGGGUCAUUUCUGUCGGACCGGGCAGGGUCCGUGGGCGGCCGGGGCCGGGAAGCACGACCUUCCCCGGGUUCAAGUCGUUCCCCUUGCAGCCCCUGGGAAGGUGGACUCUGAGCAUCUGUGUAGCCUGGAUGACCUUGCCCCGGAGGAGCCGAGGUGGGCACGCCAGGAGAGGCCCCCAGGGAUGUCAUGGCGAGCCGAAUCGCGGAAUCAUAUAGUCUGUCCUACCGCGGAACAGUUCACGAUGAAAAGGAACCAUUCGUGUUCAAAGGACUGAUUGUCAGCCUAGGCAGAGCCCAGAAACACACGCGAAAAUUUACUGGAAAAACAGGGAGCCUGGGACUGGGGAUGGGGGACAAAGGGGACUUUAAUUGGCAUUGUUUUGUUUCUGUUCUGUGGAAGAGGCAGAGGUAAGGGACUGGGAACAUGAGUGCCUAUUAGGAUGCUGUAUACUUUUUUGGUAAACCUUUUAUUUUCUUUAAAUUAAAUAAAGGGGGGAAUUAGGUCCCCCUGUUCUUGUUUGGC